UGUGCGUGUUUGUGUUUGUGUGGAACUGUUAGUCCAUAAAACAGUGUGAAGGUUUGACAACACGUUUGUGGAAACGUAAAAUAAAAAAAACAAUAUAUGUGUUUAAAACGAGCAGCAGCGAGAGCAGCGGUUUAAAGCGACAGCAGGUUAAACUGUGGUUAAACUGCUGUUCAACUGCGGUCACACUGCUGUCACCGACUCAACAGAGAAGAAACACCUCAUUUAGGAGCUCCAUGUGAAGCAUGACCUGCACAUGCUUUCACUUUGCAGCAGCCUCUAAAGCAUCAGACCUGUGUGGUCCAAUGGAAAAACCGGUGGAGUGAAAAUGAUAUGGCUGUGCUCAGUCAGAUGUUUUCCUUCACAUUUCUGACAAAAAAGACAAGGAGGCGACAAAGAGACGAGGCAACACGGUGAGUAAGAAGUAUAUAACCAAGUGUAUUCCC